CCUUUCCAGGUCCCUCUUUGCAGGCGAGGGCUGAGCUCGGCGUGCAGCAGCCAGCAGAGCUGCUGUUGUUGGCUGCCGGGGACUGACUGCCGGUGCGGGGAGGCCGGGGGCUCGCGCUCCCUCUGUCCCCCCACGCAGGGCUGCCUGCACUGCUUACAAGUGUGAAGGGGGGAAACUAGGGAAAGAGCACUUUCUAUAAAAUGACCACAGCUGUUGAGGAAGGAAGGAUUGCUUGUGUGUGUGCUGAACUCAGAGCAGAGAUGGCAGCCCGGUUGUUUCCUGAGCAUUUCCAAGACAGGACUCCGGCAGUUUGUUUAAACUCCUCCACUUCCCGACCUUUUGUGAGGACUUGCCGCAGGACCUCUGGGUCGCAGCUCCCUGCACGGUCGCUUAUUAUGUUCACAACUAAGGAAGGAAGAAACCUGACAAAAAUGAAGCCCAGGACAGAGCAGCCCGGAGAGCCGUAUGUGCGGCUGUUUUCCUUGACCAAAACGUACGCAGAGGUUGGACAGCUGUGGGCAGAGCUGGGCUCUGCUGGAUCUUCGGAACCGGGGUCCGACACGUGCAUGAGAAUCUGGUUUCCAGAGUCCGUGCACAGAGCCUGGGACUUUUAUGAGGAACGCUCAGAAUUCCAUCCAGAAAGCAGGAGUCUGAGGGGACGUCUCUCAGGCUCUGGGAACAGAGGCUGCAAGCUCCUCCCUUGAACGCAGUUUCGUGUCCUCUCCCCGGAGGCCCGUCCAAGCCCAUGCAGGUCAGCAGCCUGCUCUACCCCGAGUGCGUGGAGACCCCAGUAAGUUCCAGAAGAGACGAUGACUUCCCUCAGGCGCUUUCUCCAAUGAGGACCCCUGCCCUGGUCCAAGGUCCACCUGGAGGGGAACAAAGGCGCCAGCUGAUGAGACACUCACCUGUCCCUGACACAGGGACCUGCACCGGCUGCUUUAAAACUGGAGGGAAGAGUGGAUGACAUGAUUUAUGGGAAGCAGAGGGUAUGUCUCCUCCUCCAAGUUCUGGGGCCUGAGGAGGAACGCAAGAGACUGUCCCAUUUCUCCUCCCCUCUCCCUUGACUCAAAGCCCCGACACGAGUCAUUGUUUUUCCCUGUGUCCCCAGUGGGAACAGUGUACCAAUGUCCUUCCCUUUUAUUCCUGGGAGAAGAUGGUGACCCCUCAGAGACAUUGGCCCUGCAGAGGCUCAGAGCUUGAGAGUCUGAAGGAGCCACACAAGGGUCAGAUUUUCAAAGCUGGAAGUCUCACUCCCAAGCCAUAGCACCAGACGGACCUUGAAGGAGGACAUCCUAACAAUCCCAUGUGACACCGAUAAACACAGAGGGGGAGAAAAAUAAAAAGGGAAAACCCAGAACUCAAAAUCCGAUCCUGUGCUCCCUGGAAUAGCAUGCCCACACUGUUUCCUCUGCCUGGAGUAUUCUCAGGUCUUCAUUCAUCUGCCUGGUUCAUUAUCACUGCUCAGGCCUUAGCCCAAAUGGCAUAUCCUCCAGGAUGUCGUUUUUAAGGUCCUUACCUCAUAUGGUCCCAAUCCAACUCUGCAUCUCAGUACUCCCUUCUAGUUUGAAUGCCACCAAACACAGUUUCACUCAUCCCAACUCUAUCAUGUCCCAUGUAUUCUAUUUCAGAGCUUGGCUGCACCUGUCUUGGUCACCUUGUGUCUCUUGGGGACACUUGACACGUCAUACCCCCUCAAAAAGAUGCUGGCCAAGUAGAUUGAUAAAAGAUUAUAAAUGGAGGGUACAAUUUGUUGUUACAGUUGAACUUUAAUUCUUAUCUCCUUAGGUUUAAUUAAUAUUUGCAGUUUCCCCUUUAAUUAGCAAACUGAUAAUUGAGUGUUCUCUAUUUAUAAAGCUCUUUUAGUAAUGUAUUAAUUUGACACUCAGGCCCCAAAGCCACGAUCAGCUGCAUUUUAAGGGUGGGAAAGUGAGAACCAGAGAAGGCAACGGAUGAACUGAACAUUACGGGGCUGGAAAGAGGGGGGUUGGGGCUCCGAGCUGCUCUUCCCACUCUCAGGCCAUGCAGUUUUCAUUAGGCUACAUUUCUCUCAAAUUAGUGUAUUGUGUGAGCAUGCAUAUGCAUGUGUAGAUUCCUUUGAGUAUCAAGUAAUACACGACAUGAAUUAUAACCAUGGCCUAAUACUCUGGCAAGUUUUAUUUCUUGCAGGACCAUGCGUAGUAGAGCUCACAUUCAUUCAUAACAGCCUUAAAAGUGAUGAGAGAAGACAAUGAGUCCAAAGGACUGGUAUGAACACAGGAAAUAACUUAAGUGUUGAGCCAGUAUUCUCCAUGUGGGUGAUGUUCACCUGUUUUCCUUCUUUUUCACUCGGAGAUAUUCAACAAUUAGAUAUUGAGGUCGUUGACCUGACAGAAGUCACAAAAGGAGGUGAGGCAUUGUAUAUGUGUGGUUAACGUGUGAGGGGAGUGGGAAAGUUCUAGAAUAAGCCUCUAUAUAGACAUGUAUGUGACUUCUGUCACUGAAGACAGACUUUAUUUUACAUGUUUUUAAUAAUUGAAUGAUCUAAGUAUUUCUGGAAAUUUCUGAGGCUAAUGACAAUGGAAAUAAGGCAAACAAUUAAGCUUAACGAAAAAUAGUAUGUGUCAUUCAAUCUCUAAUUCACCCCACGAGUAAAAUUUACUUCACAACCUGUCUCGAAAGAGUAGGGUCUGGAAUCCACCAUAUAAGAUUACUUCAAAUAACAGUUAAUCAUUUUUUAACUGGACAUGUUCAAUGUUAUUAAUCUUAUAGCCUUAAAAACAAACAUGAAUGACUAUUUACCAAGUCACCUUUCUCUCUUUCCUUUUCUUUCUUUCUUACUUUCUUUCUUUCUCCCCAAUUAAUUAAAAGCAAAAUCCUUUCAUGUGUCAAAUUUAAAUAGAAUGUAAAUCUAAAGUCUAGACUUUUACCCAAAGUUCCCAAAAGAUGUCUGCAACCUGGGCAGAAAAGACUACAAGAACUAACUUUUUCAAGAGAGCCAUUUCCCAAGAAUAAUUUCCAAAAACGAAAAAAAAAAAUUACUGUAGUGCAUCCAAUUCUCAUCUUGGCUUGAAUCAGGACAAAAAACUUUGAAGUGUGA